UGUGCGUGUGCUUAUGCGUGUAGGGUAUGCUCAUGUGUGCGUGUGCUUGUGUGUGCGUGUGAUUGCCAGACGGUGCGCGCAGUGCGCUGGUUCAAUGGAGCCACUGGGAGUCUUUACUUAAGGUAUGACGGACAGAUUCGUCGAUACUUGGCAAACCUAUUUAAGUGGAGGUCUAGCCAUCCAUCCACCUAUUCAGCCAUCCGCGGAAGCCUUCAG